rnacentral:rRNA from 1 species
AAAAACUCCAUCCCAUGCUGUUUAACCCUUUGUCUUUUGCGUACUGUAUGUUUCCUCGGCGGGUUCGCCCGCCGAUAGGACACUUCAAAACCUUUUGUAAUUGCAAUCAGCGUCAGAAAAACUAUAAUAGUUACAACUUUCAACAACGGAUCUCUUGGUUCUGGCAUCGAUGAAGAACGCAGCGAAAUGCGAAAAGUAGUGUGAAUUGCAGAAUUCAGUGAAUCAUCGAAUCUUUGAACGCACAUUGCGCCCCUUGGUAUUCCAUGGGGCAUGCCUGUUCGAGCGUCAUUUGUACCCUCAAGCUCUGCUUGGUGUUGGGUGUUUGUCCCGCCUUCGCGCGUGGACUCGCCUUAAAGUGAUUGGCAGCCGGAAUAAUUCUGGGGAACGCAGCACAACUGCAGCCUCCAUUUUACGCCGAGCGUCCAGUAAGCCUUUUUUCAACGUUUGACCUCGGAUCAGGUAGGGAUACCCGC